rnacentral:rRNA from 1 species
UACGAAGGGGGCUAGCGUUGUUCGGAAUUACUGGGCGUAAAGCGCACGUAGGCGGCCUAUUAAGUCAGGGGUGAAAUCCCGGGGCUCAACCCCGGAACUGCCUUUGAUACUGGUGGUCUAGAGUCCGGAAGAGGUGAGUGGAAUUCCGAGUGUAGAGGUGAAAUUCGUAGAUAUUCGGAGGAACACCAGUGGCGAAGGCGGCUCACUGGUCCGGUACUGACGCUGAGGUGCGAAAGCGUGGGGAGCAAACAGG